rnacentral:rRNA from 1 species
GGGGAAUUUUGGACAAUGGGGGAAACCCUGAUCCAGCCAUGCCGCGUGCAGGAUGAAGGCCUUCGGGUUGUAAACUGCUUUUGUACGGAACGAAAAGGUCUUUUCUAAUAAAGAAGACUCAUGACGGUACCGUAAGAAUAAGCACCGGCUAACUACGUGCCAGCAGCCGCGGUAAUACGUAGGGUGCAAGCGUUAAUCGGAAUUACUGGGCGUAAAGCGUGCGCAGGCGGUUAUAUAAGACAGAUGUGAAAUCCCCGGGCUCAACCUGGGAACUGCAUUAGUGACUGUAUAGCUAGAGUGCGGCAGAGGGGGAUGGAAUUCCGCGUGUAGCAGUGAAAUGCGUAGAUAUGCGGAGGAACACCGAUGGCGAAGGCAAUCCCCUGGGCCUGCACUGACGCUCAUGCACGAAAGCGUGGGGAGCAAAC